UACAGAGGUGCCAAGCGUUAGGCGGAAUCACUGGGCUUAAAGCGCGUGUAGGUGGACGGGUAAGUAUCUUGUGAAAUCCCACGGCUCAACCGUGGAACUGCUGGAUAUACUGCUUGUCUUGAGGCACUUAGGGGCAGCUGGAACAAAUGGUGGAGCGGUGAAAUGCGUAGAUAUCAUUUGGAACGCCAAAGGCGAAAGCAGGCUGCUGGGAGUGAUCUGACACUGAGACGCGAAAAGCCAGGGGGAGCAAA
rnacentral:rRNA from 1 species